rnacentral:rRNA from 1 species
UACAGGGAAAGUUUUAAUGCCGAAAGAUGAGCCCGCACUUGAUUAGCUAGUUGGUAAGGUAAAAGCUUACCAAGGCAAUGAUCAAUAGCUGUUCUUAGAGGAAGACCAGCCACAUUGGGACUGAGACACGGCCCAGACUCC